rnacentral:rRNA from 1 species
AUUGAACGCUGGCGGCAUGCCUUACACAUGCAAGUCGAACGGUAACAGGUCUUCGGAUGCUGACGAGUGGCGAACGGGUGAGUAAUACAUCGGAACGUGCCCGAGAGUGGGGGAUAACGAAGCGAAAGCUUUGCUAAUACCGCAUACGAUCUCAGGAUGAAAGCAGGGGACCGCGAGGCCUUGCGCUCACGGAGCGGCCGAUGGCAGAUUAGGUAGUUGGUGGGAUAAAAGCUUACCAAGCCGACGAUCUGUAGCUGGUCUGAGAGGACGACCAGCCACACUGGGACUGAGACACGGCCCAGACUCCUACGGGAGGCAGCAGUGGGGAAUUUUGGACAAUGGGCGCAAGCCUGAUCCAGCCAUGCCGCGUGCAGGAUGAAGGCCUUCGGGUUGUAAACUGCUUUUGUACGGAACGAAAAGACUCUGGUUAAUACCUGGGGUCCAUGACGGUACCGUAAGAAUAAGCACCGGCUAACUACGUGCCAGCAGCCGCGGUAAUACGUAGGGUGCGAGCGUUAAUCGGAAUUACUGGGCGUAAAGCGUGCGCAGGCGGUUAUGUAAGACAGAUGUGAAAUCCCCGGGCUCAACCUGGGAACUGCAUUUGUGACUGCGUAGCUAGAGUACGGCAGAGGGGGAUGGAAUUCCGCGUGUAGCAGUGAAAUGCGUAGAUAUGCGGAGGAACACCGAUGGCGAAGGCAAUCCCCUGGGCCUGUACUGACGCUCAUGCACGAAAAGCGUGGGGAGCAAACAGG